AAUGAACGCUGGCGGCGCGCCUAAUACAUGCAAGUCGAGCGAGAAGACGUAGCAAUACGUUUGUAAAGCGGCGAACGGGUGAGGAAUACAUGGGUAACCUACCCUCGAGUGGGGAAGUAACUAGCCGAAAGGUUAGCUAAUACCGCGUACGCUUCUUGGACUUCGGUUCAGGGAGGAAAGCGAUGCCGAGGGUAUCGCGCUCUUGGAUGGGCUCAUGUCCUAUCAGCUUGUUGGGAGGUAACGGCUCACCAAGGCUUCGACGGGUAGCUGGUCUGAGAGGACGAUCAGCCACACUGGCACUGCGACACGGGCCAGACUCCUACGGGAGGCAGCAGUAAGGAAUAUUGCGCAAUGGGCGAAAGCCUGACGCAGCGACGCCGCGGUGGGGGAGUG
rnacentral:rRNA from 1 species